UUACUAGUUAAGUUCUUUAAAUUUAAAAAAUUUGGCGGUAUUUUAGUCUUAUUAGAGGAACCUGUUUAUUAAUUGAUAAUCCACAAUUAAUUUUACUUAUUUUAAUUAAUUCAUAUAUCGCUGUCUUGAAUAUAUUUAAAAAUUUAUUUUCUUUUUUUAUUUUUUAAAUUUAUGUUAAGUCAAGAUGUGGUUUAUAAAUAAAAAUAUAAUGGGUUACAAUAAAUUUUAUUUUGGGAUUUUAAAUGAAAAUUAGAAUGAAAUUGGAUUUAAGAAUAAGUUAAUUUAUUUAAUUAAUAUGAAAAGAGAUCUAAAAAACGUACAUAUUGCCCGUCAUUCUUAUCAAAAAGAAAACAAGUCGAAACAAAGUAAGUGUACUGGAAAGUGUAUUUAGAAAGAUUUAUUUCUUAAAA
rnacentral:rRNA from 1 species